rnacentral:tRNA from 2 species
GCACCAGUAGCUCAGGUGGAUAGAGCAACUGCCUUCUAAGCAGUGGGUCGGGGGUUCAAGUCCUCCCUGGUGCGCCA